UAAAAUAAGGGACACAUGUCUUCUUAUAUACCAAGUAGACUAACUGCUUCCAACACCCAUUUUCGUUAAUUUUAGCAACAAGUCAUUGAGGGAAUUAAACGUUGGCAGUACCUAUUUUCUCAUUUUGGGAGCAAUUUCCAAACGUAACCAGCAGCCCCAAGUUAUACUUAGCUAAAUAAUUUCUCAUGAACUUAUGCAGCAACGUUUCACACUUAUUUUAUGAAAGCAAGUAUAGUUCUUGUUCAAAUAUCUAACAGGAGCAAGAUUGUUCUUGGCAAAUUUAAGUGAAAAGGAUGGUUGAUAGAUUCAUCAAUUAAGUCUUACGAGUUCGAGAAGUAGACGUUGGACAAUUAGAUAGAAACCCAGGUACAAACGACUGAUUUACCGAUCCGCCCGCUUAGGAUUCUAUUCUGCUGUCUUGGAGUGCUCGGUUGUCUGGAGCCUACGUCUUGGUACAGUCUUUUGCCAUUGUACAUAUGUAUGUGGUUCAGGGGUAUGACGGGGCCCUGUCCCGUCUUGUGAUUCUGUUGCUAUCUGUAGAGGUCUGUAGACAUAUAUGUGGGUCAUGGGUCGUGUUUGUUCGAUCAUGUCUGUGACUUGUGCCUUAAGCGGUCCCGUUUGUUAUUAUGCCCAAAACGGCCCAUAUGUUUGUUUAUGUGUGUAUAUUUGGGGCGAUGUGUAUUCCGCCAGCCUACAGGAUUGAUAUGAUGUUUUUGUAUGGGUGACCGCUUAAGAUGAUGUCUGUUCUCAGUAUUUGUGCAAAAGAACGUAUGCUAAAUUUGGAUAAG